UGAUGUUAUCGCUCCGGGAGUUAUUUAUUCAGGGGGUUAAUAAAAAGAACGGGAAAGCUCAGCGCUGGUAGGCGGUAGGCGUGUUCAAACUCGGAGACGUGCGCGAGGCUCACGUUGAGAUGAGAACGGACCUCAGUUUCCGGUGUCUCCACACCGCUGGUUAGACUCUUUCGCGACGAGAGCAUCUUGGAACAUAUGCCAAGAAGAAACUCCACGGCAUGUCUGGAAAGGGAAAUAUAUGACAGAUGAAGCCCCUUGGGAUCUGAACUCGCUUUCUGAGAAGAUUGCCUGCUCCAAUGGCACGGUCAUGUGUCAUCUAUUUUCUUGCUCUUCUCGUGAGUCAUGCUGUUUUUCCAGAUUCCUCUCGGCUCCUGUCGUCUCCGUCCUGUGUGAUUCCUGGAGAGGAGGAGGAUGAGGAGUGGAGUGAGGAGUGUAGUGAGGUGUUUAGUGAGUGUGUGUCCGAUGAGGACAUCUACUGCACCUGGAGCUCACACACGCCUCCCAACGCCACACACACACUGCACUGGUCCG